AUUGAACGCUGGCGGCAUGCCUUACACAUGCAAGUCGAACGGCAGCACGGGUGAUUGCACCUGGUGGCGAGUGGCGGACGGGUGAGUAAUACAUCGGAACAUGUCCUGUAGUGGGGGAUAGCCCGGCGAAAGCCGGAUUAAUACCGCAUACGAUCUACGGAUGAAAGCGGGGGACCUUCGGGCCUCGCGCUUUAGGGGUGGCCGAUGGCUGAUUAGCUAGUUGGUGGGGUAAAGGCCUACCAAGGCGACGAUCAGUAGCUGGUCUGAGAGGACGACCAGCCACACUGGGACUGAGACACGGCCCAGACUCCUACGGGAGGCAGCAGUGGGGAAUUUUGGACAAUGGGCGAAGGCCUGAUCCAGCAAUGCCGCGUGUGUGAAGAAGGCCUUCGGGUUGUAAAGCACUUUUGUCCGGAAAGAAAUCCUUGGCCCUAAUACGGGCGGGGGAUGACGGUACCGGAAGAAUAAGCACCGGCUAACUACGUG
rnacentral:rRNA from 1 species